GUCAGUAACCCAGCCCUAAAGGGACUGAGCUUGCAAGAGUAAUCAAGCAAGCUGUGCUGACCAGACCACCCUGAGCUUAGUCUCAUGGUAGCCGUUAUUUGAGUCACGACACCUGGGAAUGCGUAGCUAGUUCCCCGCUCUGUCGCUUGUGAUUAAACAGUUCUAAGGUCACUGGAACAGUGUUGCAAGUCUAACAAGCUCUUAGAACAGGUCGUUCGCGCCAGCGUGCCGGAGGCAUCUAGCUAACAUUACCCCAGAAAUGGG
rnacentral:sRNA from 1 species